rnacentral:rRNA from 1 species
GACCAAAAAUCCAGCCUGAAACUUUUUAUACACAACCAACACCAAACUUUUAAAAUAAAACAUUUUGACUUUGUAGUAGAGGCGAUCGAAAAAUACAUAAGCGCUUAAGAAAUAGUACCGAGAGGGAAAAAUGAAAUAGAAAUGAAAUAAAUUUUAAGCCAAAUAAAGCAGAGAUUAAAACUCGUACCUUUUGCAUCAUGGUCCAGCCAGUCUAAGCAAGCAAAACGAAAAUUAAAGUUUGCAUCCCCGAAACUAAGCGAGCUACUUCAAAACAGCUUCAAGAGCUAACCCGUCUCUGUGGCAAUAGGGUGGGAAGAUUUUCAAGUAGAAGUGAUAAGCCUAACGAGCUUAGAGAUAGCUGGUUAUUCAGAAAAAGAAUUUUAGUUCUGCCUUAAAUCUAUUUUAUGCUAUAAAACAAACCUAACAGAUUUAAGAGUUACUCAACUAAGGCACAGCUUAUUUGAAAUAGGACACAACCUAGACCUUAGGGUAAAACACCAUUCACCAUAUAAAGUGGGCCUAAGAGCAGCCACCUUUAAAAAAGCGUUAAAGCUUAAUUUUCCUUUAUUAAUAAAUUCCAAAAACUUUAAUGAACCCAAACCCAGUACUGAACAACUCCAUAAACAUAUGGAAUAUACUAUGCUGGAACUAGUAACAAGAACACGAUAUUUCUCCAAAAUGCAAACAUAAGCCAGAAAGGACUAACCGCUGGCCAUUAACGAAAAUGAAUUAACUACAGCAAAACAACAAGAAAACUCUGUAAACUUAUCCGUUAACCUAACACCAGAGCAUUUCAGGAAGAUUAAAAGAAAAAGAAGGAACUCGGCAAAUUUCUGCCCCGCCUGUUUACCAAAAACAUCGCCUCUUGACAAACUAUAAGAGGUCCAGCCUGCCCAGUGAUAAAAUUCAACGGCCGCGGUAUCCUAACCGCGCGAAGGUAGCAUAAUCACUUGUUCUUUAAAUGGGGACUAGUAUCAACGGCAUCACGAGGGCUCAACUGUCUCCUUUUUCCAAUCAGUGAAACUGAUCUCCUCGUGAAAAAGCGAGGAUAUACCCAUAAGACGAGAAGACCCCAUGGAGCUUUAAACCUUGCAGCAACUCUAAUACAUAACUCAUUAAAGCCAUCAGAACCAUGCAUGCCGGUUUUAGGUUGGGGCGACCGCGGAGAAAAAAUUAUCCUCCACAACGAAAAGAACUAAACCUUUACCCAAGAGCUACUCCUCUAAGAAUUAGUAUACUAACGAACAAUGACCCGAUAAUCGAUCAAUGAACCAAGUUACCCUGGGGAUAACAGCGCAAUCUACUUCGAGAGCCCAUAUCGACAAGUAGGCUUACGACCUCGAUGUUGGAUCAGGGUAUCCCUGUGGCGCA